CCUGAGAAACCCAAAAGAUCGAAUGGGGAGAUUCAUCGCCAGCGGUACUGGUACGUGUGCGGUUCGCGAUGUCCGGGACUUCGGUCUCGUGGCACGCGUCCGCAUGUUUUUAUUGCCUGGUAUCGUCGGCGUGCACUUCUCCCCUAGUAGGACGUCGCGACCCGUUGGGUGUCGGUCUACGGCCCGGGUGGGUGCCUGUCUCGUGUGCGCUUUAUCGCGUCACUGCGGGGCAGACCCCCGGUUGCCUGACCGGCUGCUCGGCGGUACUCGCAAGGUAUCUGGCCGCAAAAAUUUGAACUGCGUCCGGCCCGUCGCAAGCGAGGCGAGUGUUCCCGAAUGUACGGAUCUGAUGCCGUCAUCGGGCCUAGCCAGCUGUUGGUUGACGGUGUCCUAGGACUGGCUAUAAAAAUUAUGAUACCGGUCAGCGACGCUACUGCUUUGGGUACUUUCAGGACCCGUCUUGAAACACGGACCAAGGAGUCUAACAUGUGCGCGAGUCAUUGGGAGCUAUUAAGCCUAAAGGCGCAAUGAAAGUGAAGGUCGGCCUUGCGCCGACCGAGGGAGGAUGGGCCGCGUCACGAUGCGGUCCCGCACUCCCGGGGCGUCUCGUUCUCAUUGCGAGAAGAGGCGCACCCAGA
rnacentral:rRNA from 1 species